AUUGUGAUUUAAAGUUUGAUGUGUGCAGAAACGUUGUCGCACAACAGAAUCAGGAAGUACAUGAACUGCAGACAAACUGAAAGCUGAAGAGCAAAAAGAGUGAAAUUCUGAGUGAUGGCAGAAUUUUCAUCAGCAGCACAAAAACCAACCGAGACGAGAAGGAGGAGUCUGGAUGCACCUCCAUUAUCUCUGUCAAAUGAGCUCCAGUGUUCGAUCUGUCUGGAUGUGUUCACUGAUCCAGUCAGCACUCCAUGUGGACACAACUUCUGUAAGAGCUGCCUGAACCAGUGCUGGAACAACAGUCAGAUCUACAACUGUCCAUUGUGUAAAGAAACAUUCAGUAAAAGACCCGACCUCAAGAUCAACACAGCACUCAGACAGGUUGUGCAGCACUUUAAGGAAAAGUCUGGUCUGAGUAAAUCUGAGGUUCUCUGUGACGUCUGUGAUGAUAUAAAGAUGAAAGCGCUGAAGAUGUGCCUGGUGUGUCAGAGCUCUUACUGUGAAACUCAC